rnacentral:lncRNA from 1 species
UCCUGGCCCGACGGUGACGGAGGGCUUUGAUGAGGCCCGGCGGCCGCGUGCUUGCCAGGAAGGCCCGGGGCUUGAGGCCCUGGAAGGCCUGGCCCGUUCAGGAGUCCCGGCUGUUUGGGGGAAUGUCCCACGCCCUGUGGGGAUUUGAGCCGUGUCUCCCGGCCGACUUGGGUGUCCCGGUUGGUGUGUGGUCGGGCCUGGGGGCUUGGUGCGGGCGGGAACCGCGGGUAGCGACCACGUCUCGUCAGGGGGUUCGUGCCUGCUGCUGGGCACGGGAACGGCUCCGGGGGGGUCUUACGGGCGCUGAGGGGAUUCCGCAUCAUGGAGAGGUCAAGGGGAGUUGGUGGCCGUCACCCUUCGUCAGGGCAGGGUAGCAUCAGUGCUCCCGUGCUGGGGUUCCUGGAGAGCCGGCUGGCACGGACAGACUCUUGUGAGGGCAAGUGGCUGAUCGUGCGUCGGAUGGGUCCAGCAAAGGAGAGAAAGCUUCGGGUGCGCGCGCUCGCCAGGGAAAGGGUGACAGCGGGUGGGACCGAGAGGGAGAGAGAGAGAGAGAGAAAAAGGAAGAGAGAGGGUUUCCGCAGGGGCGGUGAGUCCUGGCGGAAGUCCUGAGGCAGAGGAGGUGCCAGGGGUUUGGGUUUCCCGGUCGUGUCGGGGGUGUGGCGCAGGUUGCCCCAGUGGGCCUGAAUGUGCCUCCGUGGGGCACCUUGUUGCCGUGUUGGGGGGCGGGGAGCCGGCCUUGGGGAUCCAUCUUUCGGGCCCUGGGACGUGGGAGAAGAAUGCCGGGCCUCUCUCUGUGCCCCUGGCGCCUCUGUGCAGGCCGGGCCUGCACCACCCCCCCGCGCCCGUCCCCAGGCAGGGUCCGUGUGGCUGCAGACACCCAGAGAGAGGGGAGGCUGGGGAGGCUGGGGAGCCGUGGCAGCCCGAUGCAGUGCGGGUCUCCAGGUGGAGGGGCCCUGGUCCCCUGGCGCCAGCGUGGCCCUUCCUCCUUGUGGAAACCCUUGUGGUGUGUGUGCUCUCUCGCCCUGACCCAGGAGAGCAGCAUGGCGGACCCCUGAUCUUGUGGCGUGCCACCGCGCGAGGCCGAGGAGCUCCCGCAGCCCAGUGGGCGUGGCGUCCUUGUCGCGGCUCUGUGGAGACCUGGCGAUGGAGAGCAGCAUGGCGGACCCCUGAUCUUGUGGCGUGCCACCGCGCGAGGCCGAGGAGCUCCCGCAGACCAGUGGGCGUGGCGUCCUUGUCGCGGCUCUGUGGAGACCUGGCGAUGGUGAGCGGCCCCUGUCCUCAGUGGUGGAGAACUCGCCCUUGGGGCGCUCGUCUGUCCGGAGCCCCGGGCCAGCCCCGCUUCUCGCGGGCUUUGGCCCCGGCAGGCCAGCUCCGGGGGCGUGAGGGGGAGCGUCCCGUCCUGCCCAGUGGCUCGUCUGUCUGGGCACGCCCCCAAACGCUGCCGUGAUGGAGCGGGUGGGAUGUCCAGGUGCGGAGGCCGUGAAUUUGCCUUGCGGCGGCGGAGCCCGUGCUCGGAUCGAUGAUGACUCCCUCUAAAGCAUUCCUUGGAAAUCUGAACAAAAUGAGUGAGAACUCACUACCGUC